rnacentral:piRNA from 1 species
ACGGAAAGGAAACCAGACGCCAGAGCCU